rnacentral:rRNA from 1 species
ACUUAUAGGCACUGGCGGGUUAAACCGGAAAUGGUGGAGCCACAGCGAAAGCGAGUCUUAAUAGGGCGUUUGUCAGUGUUUAUAGACCCGAACCCUGGUGAUCUAACCAUGGCCAGGAUGAAGCUUGGGUGAUACCAAGUGGAGGUCCGAACCGACUGAAGUUGAAAAUUCAGCGGAUGAGCUGUGGUUAGGGGUGAAAUGCCAAUCGAACCAGGAGCUAGCUGGUUCUCCCCGAAAUACGUUGAGGCGUAGCGUCUAGUGCUCCAGCAGGGGGGUAAAGCAACCAUUUCGGUGCGGGCUGCGAAAGCGGUACCAAAUCGAUAUGAACUCUGAAUACCCUGUGUGUAACUAGGCAGUCAGACUGUGGGGGAUAAGCUCCAUAGUCAAGAGGGAAACAGCCCAGACCGCCAGCUAAGGUCCCAAAAUUAACGCUAAGUGAUAAAGGAGGUGGGAUUGCCCAGACAACCAGGAGGUUUGCCUAGAAGCAGCCAUCCUCAAAGGAGUGCGUAAUAGCUCACUGGUCGAGCGAUCCUGCGCCGAAAAUGAACGGGGCUAAGCGUUAUACCGAAGCUGCGGAUAAAUUUAUUUAUGGUAGGGGAGCGUUCUAUGUAGGGUGAAGCGUUAGCGUAAGCGGACGUGGACAGCAUAGAAGUGAGAAUGUCGGCUUGAGUAGCGAAAACAUGGGUGAGAAUCCCAUGCCCCGAAACCCUAAGGGUUCCUCCGGCAGGCUCGUCCGCGGAGGGUUAGUCUGGACCUAAGGCGAGGCCGAAAGGCGUAGUCGAUGGAUAACAGGUCAAUAUUCCUGUACCAGAUGUGUUUUGAGAAGGGGGACGGAGAAGGCUAACCAGGCCAGAUGUUGGUUACUGGUUCAAGCGUUCGAGGCUUUGAGAGAUGGAGAAAACAUCUUGAGCUAAGGCGUGAGUACGAGCUGCUACGGCAGCGAAGUUGGUGAUGUCAUGCUUCCAAGAAAAGCCCUAUACUCGUUAAGACACAAAUGCCAGUACCCGAAACCGACACAGGUGGGGUGGUAGAGAAUACCGAGGGGCGCGAGAUAACUCUCUCUAAGGAACUCGGCAAAAUGGCCCCGUAACUUCGGGAGAAGGGGUGCCAGCGAGAGCUGGUCGCAGUGAAGAGGCGCAAGCGACUGUUUACCAAAAACACAGGUCUCCGCUAAGUCGCAAGACGAUGUAUGGGGGCUGACACCUGCCCAGUGCCGGAAGGUUAAGGAAGCUGGUUAGCUUUAUGUGAAGCUGGCGACUGAAGCCCCGGUGAACGGCGGCCGUAACUAUAACGGUCCUAAGGUAGCGAAAUUCCUUGUCGGGUAAGUUCCGACCCGCACGAAAGGUGUAACGAUUUGCGCGCUGUCUCGGAGAGAGGCUCGGCGAAAUAGAAUUGUCUGUGAAGAUGCGGACUACAUACACCCGGACAGAAAGACCCUAUGAAGCUUUACUGUAGUUUGAUAUUGUGCUCGGGCUCUGAAUGCGCAGAAUAGGUGGGAGACGUUGAAAUAGUGCUUGUGGGUACUAUUGAGUCAUCGGUGAGAUACCACUCUUUUAGAGCUAGGGUUCUAACGCUUACCCGUUAUCCGGGAAGCGGACAGUAUCUGAUGGGCAGUUUGACUGGGGCGGUCGCCUCCUAAAAGGUAACGGAGGCGCACAAAGGUUCCCUCAGGCUGGUUGGAAAUCAGUCGUUGAGUGCAAAAGCAGAAGGGAGCUUGACUGUGAGACCUACAAGUCGAACAGGGACGAAAGUCGGUUUUAGUGAUCCGACGGUUCUGCGUGGAAGGGCCGUCGCUCAACGGAUAAAAGUUACUCUAGGGAUAACAGGCUGAUCUCCCCCAAGAGUUCACAUCGACGGGGAGGUUUGGCACCUCGAUGUCGGCUCAUCGCAACCUGGGGCUGAAGUCGGUCCCAAGGGUUGGGCUGUUCGCCCAUUAAAGCGGUACGCGAGCUGGGUUCAGAACGUCGUGAGACAGUUCGGUCCAUAUCCGGUGUAUGCGCAGGAAUAUUGAGAGGAUUUCUCCCUAGUACGAGAGGACCGGGAGGAACGCACCUCUGGUGUGCCAGUUAUCGUGCCAACGGUAAACGCUGGGUAGCCAUGUGCGGAGUGGAUAACCGCUGAAAGCAUCUAAGUGGGAAGCCCACCUCAAGAUGAGUAUUGCCAUGGCUUAAGCCAGUAAGGUCACGGGAAGAACACCCGUUGAUAGGCUCUACGUGGAAGCUUGGUAACAAGUGCAGCGGAGGAGUACUAAUAGACCGAGGGCUUGACCAA